rnacentral:rRNA from 1 species
GAUGAACGCUGGCGGCGUGCCUAAUACAUGCAAGUCGAGCGAACGGACGAGAAGCUUGUUUCUCUGAUGUUAGCGGCGGACGGGUGAGUAACACGUGGAUAACCUACCUAUAAGACUGGGAUAACUUCGGGAAACCGGAGCUAAUACCGGAUAAUAUUUUGAACCGCAUGGUUCAAAAGUGAAAGACGGUCUUGCUGUCACUUAUAGAUGGAUCCGCGCUGCAUUAGCUAGUUGGUAAGGUAACGGCUUACCAAGGCAACGAUGCAUAGCCGACCUGAGAGGGUGAUCGGCCACACUGGAACUGAGACACGGUCCAGACUCCUACGGGAGGCAGCAGUAGGGAAUCUUCCGCAAUGGGCGAAAGCCUGACGGAGCAACGCCGCGUGAGUGAUGAAGGUCUUCGGAUCGUAAAACUCUGUUAUUAGGGAAGAACAUAUGUGUAAGUAACUGUGCACAUCUUGACGGUACCUAAUCAGAAAGCCACGGCUAACUACGUG